rnacentral:tRNA from 1 species
GCCGCCUUAGCUCAGCAGGUAGAGCACUUGACUUGUAAUCAUGAGGUCUCCGGUUCGAUUCCGGGAGGCGGCU